rnacentral:rRNA from 1 species
CCCUUAGAUGUUCUGGGCUGCACGCGCGCUACACUGAUACUUUCAGCGAGUCCACCACCUUGCCUGGGAGGGUGGGGUAACCUCUGGAAAGUGCAUCGUGAUGGGGAUCGAUUAUUGUAAUUAUUAAUCUUCAACGAGGAAUUCCUAGUAAGCAUGUGUCAUCAGCCCGUGCUGAUUACGUCCCUGCCCUUUGUACACACCGCCCGUCGCUACUGCCAACUGAGAUGGGUCCUGAAUUGUUAGGAACGCCCGUCAAGGGGCCUACCCGGUCCCUAGUGCGGUGACGAGAAUAACUGUAAAUGGCAUAUCUUGUAGGGAGUAAAAGUCGUAACA